rnacentral:lncRNA from 1 species
UUUCACUUUCGAGUUUCGACCUCUUAACGGUUAACAAUAAAACACAUUUUUUUCAGCGAACCAAAACCUAACUAAAGCACCAAACAAAUAACUGAUCUCCACUCCACUUUGUUAGCAACAUUUAGUCAUUUCUAAACCUUCAAGAGCCUAUCAGAAGGCCACAUAAGACUUUCCGGCGAAAGCAUUGUUUUUCCGGCGAGUUAGUUGAAGAUAUAAAUGCAACAGUUUGGAUUUUUGUUUGCCGAAUAUGCAAAAAAAUAAGGGAGCGCCUGCCUACCCAAGGCUACACUGGAUUCUCAAGGAUACCACAAUCCUUAGGAAAGACAUACAACUAUAAAGGCAUAUUGGAAAGUACAUUGU